rnacentral:rRNA from 1 species
GUGCAGAGGAUACUACNGGGCUUGAGGACAGCAGGGGGAGGAGGAAUUCCCGGUGGAGCGGUGAAAUGCGUAGAUAUCGGGAAGAACACCAAUGGCGAAGGCGACCUCCUGGGCUGUUCCUGACGCUGAGGCGCGAAAGCGUGGGGAUCAAACAGGAUUAGAUACCCUGGUAGUCCACGCCGCAACCGAUGGACACUAGGUAUGGGGGGUAUCGACCCUCUCCCGUGCCGUAGUUAACGCGUUAAGUGUCCCGCCUGGGGAUUACGGCCGCAAGGCUAAAAUUCAAAGGAAUUGACGGGGGCCCGCACAAGCAGCGGAGCGUGUGGUUUAAUUCGAUGAUACGCGAAGAACCUUACCAGGGCAUGACAUGCUUGGGAAUCCCCCUGAAAGGGGGGAGUGCCUUCGGGAGCCCUUGCACAGGUGCUGCAUGGCUGUCGUCAGCUCGUGUCGUGAGAUGUUGGGUUAAGUCCCGCAACGAGCGCAACCCUCGUCCUGUGUUGCUCUCUCACAGGAGACUGCCCCGCAAAACGGGGAGGAAGGUGGGGAUGACGUCAAGUCAGCAUUGCCCUUAAGCCCUGGGCAACACACACGCUACAAUGGGCGGUACAGAGGGAAGCUAAGGAGCAAUCCGGAGCUAAUCCCACAAACCCGUCCUCAGUUCGGAUUGGAGGCUGCAACUCGCCUCCAUGAAGUCGGAGUUGCUAGUAACCUCAGGUCAGCAGUCUACGGUG